GGAGAAUGACCAGGUCCGUGACGGGUAGGCUGGCUAAUAAGCGAAAGCAGAACGAUAAAGAAACAGAACGAUAACGAAAGAAGGUAGAUGGAGAAACCGAUGAAGAAUGGGAACAAGAAGUCGAUGAAGGGCAAGUGAUGAAGAUGGUUAUCAAGAAGCGAAGCCCGCCGAAGGAUUACAACGCAUCAUCAGGUUUUCGUGGUGACGAUGGUGUGUUUUUUGGUUGGCUGCUAUGUGUUGUGAAGAUGGAUGUUGUUGUGAAGACCAUUUUUUAGAAGCAUUACAACUAUUGAUAUAAAAUUCAUUUUUAUUUUCAUUUUCAUUGUUAGUAUGCCCAUUUUUGGAUGAA